rnacentral:tRNA from 1 species
CUUGUAGCUUAGUGGUAGAGUACUGAUGCAAAAAAACAGAGGCCCGGGUUCGAUUCCCGGCGAG